rnacentral:rRNA from 1 species
CUCAGUUCGGAUUGGAGUCUGCAACCCGACUCCCAUGAAGCUGGAUUCGCUAGUAAUCGCGCAUCAGCCACGGCGCGGUGAAUACGUUCCCGGGCCUUGUACACACCGCCCGUCAAGCCAUGGAAGCCGGGGGGUGCCUGAAGUGCGCUGCCGCAAGGAGCGCCCUAGGGUAAAACCGGUGACUGGGGCUAAGUCGUAACAAGGUAGC